AUCUAUUUCUUCACGUCUCUCCUUAGUACUUAUUCAUGUGUCCUCGUUAAAAAGAUACGAAUAUUCAUGAUGUUGCUGUCAUUAUUAUUGUCAGAAAAAUUGUAGAAUGAGAAUGAUUAACCGAGUGUUGUUUAGUCUUCCUAUCUCCAUAUUUAUUUAUACUGAAAAUUAAAGCACAAUAACCUCCUUUGUGCCCAAAAAAGAAAAGAAAAUUAAAGCACAAUAUAGGAGGGAUGAUGAACCCAGCUUUAUAAAAUAUAUAGCAAACUAAUUAAUCUUUUGUGGACAAUUGACCCCAUUCCUCUAUGACUUGAUACACACCGUCCACAUCAAUUCAAAUGUAACUUGUGCCAUUGCCUGAUAUUCUUAGACUAGAUCAAGUUACAACACUGCCUCUUCUCUGAUAAAUGGGGUUGUUUUCAAGAAGAACACCGUGGUUAUAAGUGGAUCCUAACAAAAGGGGAUCAACGCAGUCAGCAUAAGUGAAGCUCGUAAUAUUGGCAUGUCCAUGACCUUUACACCAAAGAUAACAAUGCAAACUAGGUAAAUAACAUCUUUGACUCUUUUAGUGGGGAGAGUAUCCUAAUAAAAUACACCAGAGAGAAUGAGUAUCCAACUAAGAGACUUGAAAAUGAACAUUCUAUAUAAAGCAUGUCCAAUAAAAAAAAUCUAAGAGGAAAAGCAAAUAAGGAUUAAGAUGGAAAGAGUCAAAGUAAGGAAUUGGACCAUCUAUAGCAAAAGAAGGUAGUUGAUCGACUCAAUAACAUGCUGUAGAAACUGCAUCAAUUUGAAAAGGUUUAGAGACUUCCAUUUGAAACAAAAGAGCCUGGGAAACUUAAAAUAAGUGUCUGAUUUUUCUUUGAGCCUCCAUAUUUUUGUUGAGAAGUGAUGAAGAUACAUGGUGUUUAACGAAUGGUGCUGAAACUUUUGCAUGGAUGUGUAAAGCCAUGUAGCAUGAGAGUAAUCAUCUACAAAGCAUACAAGUGAACAACCAAAAAAUGAGAUAGGUUUCCAAAAUAGGAUACAACUUCUUCAAGGUCUUUAGGGGAGGAUGUACAACACGACAAUGUAGAUGAACAACUUACUGCUGUGGCAGCUAUUAUUUCUGUAAAAUAUUUAUGUUUAGAGACCAUCUAUAGCAAAAGAAGGUAGUUGAUCGACUCAAUAACAUGCUGUAGAAACUGCAUCAAUUUGAAAAGGUUUAGAGACUUCCAUUUGAAACAAAAGAGCCUGGGAAACUUAAAGUAAGUGUCUGAUUUUUCUUUGAGCCUCCAUAUUUUUGUUGAGAAGUGAUGAAGAUACAUGGUGUUUCACGAAUGAUGCUGAAACUUUUGCAUGGAUGUGUAAAGCCAUGUAGCACGAGAGUAAUCAUCUACAGAGCAUACAAGUGAACAACCAAAAAAUGAGGUGCACCCAUUUAUUGACUCUAGGUGAAUAAGUUUCUUGAUGGUGUUUACUGCUUAGAAAACUAACAAACUCACUAUUUAAAUAAAAUAGGAUACAACUUCUUCAAGGUAUUUAGGGGAGGAUGUACAACACGACAAUGUAGAUGAACAACUUACUGCUGUGGCAGCUAUUAUUUGUGUAAAAUAUUUAUGUGUUUCUUGUGUCUCAAAUGAGAUCACACACCUUCCUAUUUAUAAUGAUGCUGCAAUAAUUAUAUUCAAUGUCUAGGAAAUUGUAUUAACUAGGACUACUAACAAUUGGCCUAGGUUGUUGCACAAUCAAGGAAUAAUUAAAACAUAUACUGAAUUUUAACACUCCCUCUCAAGUUAAAGCGUACUAUGCUUUAAGUUUGUUACAUCAAAACAUUUUAUCCCAAAAAAAAAAAAAACUAAAGUUGACAACUGUUGGACUAGUUUGAGAAGAGAAGGGACCAUUAAUGAUUCAUGUUUGAAGAGUCACAACUGGAUUGAUCAUUGGUGGGAAUAAAACGCACCACUAAUAUGAUUCAUAUGUGGGAAUAGAGUCACCACCGAAUUGAUCAUCGGUGGGAAUUAAAGGCACCGCUAGUUUGAUUCAUAUGUGGGAAUAGAGUCACCACUAGAUUGAUCAUUGGUGGGAAUAAAAUGAUUGUUUGGGCAAAUGGUCCCUUGUCCAUGAAACUAAGUUAUUACAACAACAAAUACAAUGCGGAAAAGGGGAGUUGAAAUUUGAGAGGUUGCUGAAAAAUCACCAAAUCAUGAAAAGACCUGCAGAAGGUGGCCGAAGAUAGGUGCAUGCGCUCUCACGCAUAGAGAAGACAUACAUGCGUGGGACCCACACAUAGGGAAGACGGACAUGCGUGACAGUAUGUGCAAUGUCAGUUGGCGAUGGGAAAAGCAUCUUCGUGCUCGUCAGAGGAUUGCGUGGCGGUGUUUGUUGGUUUUGGAUGCACACUAGAAAAUGGGCAGCUGGUGUUGGCACCACUGUAACAGAGUAAAAAAAAAAGGAA